GAUGAAGAACGCAGCGAAAUGCGAUAAGUAAUGUGAAUUGCAGAAUUCAGUGAAUCAUCGAAUCUUUGAACGCAUCUUGCGCUCCUUGGUAUUCUGAGGAGCAUGCCUGUUCGAGUGUCAUUAAAUUCUCAACUACACUGACUUUGAAUUGGUGUGGCUUGGAUUUGGGGGGAAAAUUGUUGUGGGCUUUUUGUAUAGUCUGCUCCCCUGAAAUUGAUUAGCGGUACCUUUGUGGAACUGUCUACAGGUGUGAUAAUUAUCUACAUCUUAGACAUCUGCUGGAAUGCUGCUUUCUAAACCUUACUUGUAUUGACAAUCUUGACCUCAAAUCAGGUAGGACUACCCGCUGAACUUAAGCAUAUCAAUAAGCGGAGGA
rnacentral:misc_RNA from 1 species